rnacentral:rRNA from 1 species
GACGAACGCUGGCGGCGUGCUUAACACAUGCAAGUCGAACGGAAAGGCCCUGCUUUUGUGGGGUGCUCGAGUGGCGAACGGGUGAGUAACACGUGAGUAACCUGCCCUUGACUUUGGGAUAACUUCAGGAAACUGGGGCUAAUACCGGAUAGGAGCUCCUGCUGCAUGGUGGGGGUUGGAAAGUUUCGGCGGUUGGGGAUGGACUCGCGGCUUAUCAGCUUGUUGGUGGGGUAGUGGCUUACCAAGGCUUUGACGGGUAGCCGGCCUGAGAGGGUGACCGGCCACAUUGGGACUGAGAUACGGCACAGACUCCUACGGGAGGCAGCAGAGGGGAAGAUUGCACAAUGGGCGGAAGCCAGAUGCAGCAACGCCGCGUGCGGGAUGACGGCAUGCGGGUUGUAAACCGCAUUCGCCUGUGACGAAGAGUGAGUGACGGUAAUGGGUAAAGAAGCACCGGCUAACUACGUG